CACGUAGGGCGCAAGCGUUGUCCGGAAUUAUUGGGCGUAAAGAGCUCGUAGGUGGUUUGUUACGUCUGCUGUGAAAACCUAGGGCUUAACCCUGGGCUUGCAGUGGAUACGGGCGGGCUGGAGUUCGGUAGGGGAGACUGGAAUUCCUGGUGUAGCGGUGAAAUGCGCAGAUAUCAGGAGGAACACCGGUGGCGAAGGCGGGUCUCUGGGCCGAUACUGACGCUGAGGAGCGAAAGCGUGGGGAGCGAACAGG
rnacentral:rRNA from 1 species